UCGGCGGCAGCAACUCAAAAAACAGCCGAGGCCCGAUGGCGGCAGUUAGAAAGGCUCAACCUUAACUCGGCUGGCCCUGUAGCGCAUGCGCAUCGGCCUUCGAGGCGGAGUUUUGCUUUCAGGCGGUCUGAAGGCUGUCGGGAGGAGAAAGCGUCACCGAGGCGGAGAAAAUUGGGGAAUUUGCCGAUAAAGGUGAAGAGGAAAGGUGACGGUAAUAUCGGUUGAGGUCAUGAAUGAACAUUACAAUAGAUUCUAUAAUAGAAAACAAAAGAUUUACACCUUAAUCUCUCACUCCAGGCAAAGGGCAAUUUAUGCUAAUCCAGGAGAGCAUAACUGAAGAUUUCAUGUAACUGAACAAGCUUCAGCAAAUAGAUUCAGCCAGAUUAGAUUAAGACUAAGGCAUCUGGACUGCAAAAAUCUAGACAGAAAUAAUAGUUACAAAAAUCUGAAUGUGGUUAUCCAAAUUUCUGUAACCUUAUUAGUUUAAUGUGAGCUGCUAAAGAUUAUCUCUGAAUUUUCCAUGUGUAGACAGAUACAUAAUUUAUUUUUUAAAAUCCCAUGAUACUUAACAAGACUACAGGUAGUCCUUGGUUGGUCAUUUGAUCAUUCAAAGUUAGAUUCUAAGUUAAAACAAUCUGGGAAAGGGUGCUUUAUGGCACAUAAAACACUUCCAACUGUCAUAAAAUGUAAAUCCAUGAAGAAUUUGUUCUGUGUGCCGAGAGGGGAAGGAACUUUUAAGGGGCUGCAGGAUUUCUGUUCCUGCUGAAGAAUUUCCCCUCUAUGCAUUCCAAGGACGUGCAGUCAGGGGAGGCAGGGCCUCACCAC